rnacentral:lncRNA from 1 species
UAUGGCUUUCAGCUAGAUUGUUAACCAAGCCAUAGAAGGCAAUAGAGCGAUCAAUACUUUUGGUCCCUUCAUUUUCAUUUUCUUCAACAAUUGACUCUGACCAUUCAAUACUCCUCAUGAAAAGAGGUUUGAACACUUUUUCUGUGAGUUUCAUGGUAAGCCUAACCAGUGUAUUAAUGACAUUCUUCUCAACAGCAUCAAUAUUUCUAACAGCAGCAGGGUGCUGACGUCGCAGAUCAAGAGCUUGCAAGCAUAAGUCAAAUAUCCUUACAUGAUAGGCAUCAACGGAUGAUCUAUCCAUAGCAGCCACAAGGUUUUGUAAAAUAUCCUUACAUGAUAGGCAUCAAUGGAUGAUCUAUCCAUAGCAGCCACAAGGUUUUGUAUCAUUUCAAACGCAAUCGAUACACUAGAAUCCCCGUACGUAAUAGCAUCAGAACAUAUCCUCAACAAUGGAGAAAGUAAAAGACGAACCUGCUCAAUCAAUGAGUAGAAGAAGUUCAUGGUAACCUUCUAAGUACUGCAUACAUGAAAUCAUACCAUAACAAUAAAUGCAGUAGAUGAAACUUACA